GAAAUGCGAUAAGUAAUGUGAAUUGCAGAAUUCAGUGAAUCAUCGAAUCUUUGAACGCACCUUGCGCUCCUUGGUAUUCCUUGGAGCAUGCCUGUUUGAGUAUCAUGAAAUCUUCAAAGUAAAUCUUUUGUUAACUCAAUUGGUUUCUACUUUGGUAUUGGAGGUCUUUGCAGCUUCACACCUGCUCCUCUUUGUUCAUUAGCUGGAUCUCAGUGUUAUGCUUGGUUCCAGUCGGCGUGAUAAGUUAUCUAUCGCUGAGGACACUGUAAAAGGUGGCCAAGGUAAAUGCAGAUGAACCGCUUCUAAUAGUCCAUUGACUUGGACAAUACUUUUAUGAUCUGAUCUCAAAUCAGGUAGGACUACCCGCUGAACUUAAGC
rnacentral:misc_RNA from 1 species